rnacentral:lncRNA from 1 species
CACAACUAAACCUAUAAACAUAACUCUACCCUUAACCUCUGAAACAGCUAUUAGAAAUCAUUAAAACAAGUAUAAAAACUUCCCUUACCUCCUGAAAUCAGAAGCUGGACAACCUGAACACCAAGCUAUGCACCAACACCUCUUUUCCUUCACCAAAACACCAAAACUCUCUUCUUUUAUUUCAAAACGUUCUAAACACUUUACCACC